rnacentral:lncRNA from 1 species
GAGCUGGACAUUCUUAUUAUUGCAUUAGUCACUGCAUUAGCGUAAAGUAACCAGAUUUCACCUAUUACCCGAGAAUCAGCAGUGAUGCCUUGCAACAGACAGAGUGUUUGUCCUGAGGCAAAGGAGGGUUAUAUCCACUAAAUGUAAUUAAAGGGGACCUGGGAGACAAAAAUAAAGUUAUAUAAUGUUUGUAAAACAACGUGGUUAUAGAAAUUAGGCUAUUGGUACCCUAAUGAGAACACACACAGUACAUAAUAAAGAAAAUGCCAGGCCUAUCUGAGAAAGUAACUCCUAACUGUGUCAGCUGAUCAAACAGAGGGAUCCCCACAGACACAAGGUAAAUUUUAUAAUUUAAAACUCAGGGGUCUAUCUGAUAAAAUGUGGGUACAUGAUCACUUACAAAUAGAGAAAUAAGAAUAACAUUUACAAUACUUUACUUUCUCAGUGAGAUUUAAGAGGACAUUGCUUUUCUAAAAUGAUAGCUG